rnacentral:rRNA from 1 species
UACGUAGGGUGCAGGCGUUAAUCGGAAUUACUGGGCGUAAAGCGUGCGCAGGCGGUUUUGCUAAGACAGGUGUGAAAUCCCCGGGCUUAACCUGGGAACUGCGCUUGUUACUGGCAAGCUAGAGUGUGGCAGAGGGGGUGGAAUUCCAGGUGUAGCAGUGAAAUGCGUAGAUAUCUGGAGGAACACCGAUGGCGAAGGCAGCCCCCUGGGCUAACACUAACGCUCAUGCACGAAAGCGUGGGGAGCAAACAGG